rnacentral:tRNA from 1 species
AGCGGAGUGGCAGCAGUGGCAGCUCGCUUGGCUCAUAACCAAGAGGUCGAAGGUUCGAGUCCUUCCUUCGCAA